UUCCAGACUCCUACGGGAGGCAGCAGUGGGGAAUAUUGCACAAUGGGGGAAACCCUGAUGCAGCGACGCCGCGUGAGUGAAGAAGUAUUUCGGUAUGUAAAGCUCUAUCAGCAGGGAAGAAAAUGACGGUACCUGAUUAAGAAGCCCCGGCUAACUACGUGCCAGCAGCCGCGGUAAUACGUAGGGGGCAAGCGUUAUCCGGAUUUACUGGGUGUAAAGGGAGCGUAGACGGCAGCGCAAGUCUGAAGUGAAAUGCCGGGGCUUAACCCCGGAACUGCUUUGGAAACUGUGCAGCUAGAGUGCAGGAGAGGUAAGUGGAAUUCCUAGUGUAGCGGUGAAAUGCUUAGAUAUUGCGCAGAACUCCGAUUGCGAAGGCAGCAUACCGGCGGCGAUCUGACGCUGAGGCACGAAAGCGUGGGUAUCGAACAGGAUUAGAUACCCUAGUAAAU
rnacentral:rRNA from 1 species